rnacentral:lncRNA from 1 species
UAUGGCUGGAGGAGCAGGGAAUUAGGGACAGAGCUGUGGAGCCAGGUGUGGCUGAAUGGGGCCCAAUAUCCCCACUGCCUGGUGUGGGGAUGGCCUUAGGCCUUAACCUAAGCAACUCCAAUUUAAAAUAAGCCUGCAGUCUCACCAGGCAAGCGUAUGUCACCAGGCAUAGCCUGAUAAAAACAAGUCAUUUUCACAACCCUGAUAAAAGAGUGAAGUCACAUGCCAUUUGCCUUAACCCUGAUAAAAGUCGGAGGGUAAUAUCAGAGUAGAAACCACCAGACCAUAUGUCCUCCCUAAGAUGAAGUAUGUCACUAAGAAACUGGGUAACAGCUUAUAGGGACCUAAAGGGAGAGCAGAAGCUCCCAAAAUUGAUAUAAAUAAUAGAGCAAAAGGACAGACAUUCAGCCAGUGGGCACUGAUGCACACAAGCCUGAGAGCGUGAUGAGGACCUGGACUGACAACCCAGCUAUUCUCAUCAUCUGCCUGAUCCUCUGGAUCGUCCUCACUGCUUUCCAACUCUACAGCAGCCUCUUG